GUCUCACUGGGUUGGCUCAAUCAGUAAAGCAUGAGACUCUGGAUCUCAGAGUCGUGGGUUCGAACCCCCCAUUGGGCA